rnacentral:lncRNA from 10 species
GCCCUGGUCCCGCCCCCCGGGAGUCGCCCGCCCUGACAUCAUCCCGGUUAUGUAAGAGCCGCGGCUUCCGGUUCCUUGCUCCACCGGUAAGGCAAGGGGUCUCGGGGCCGGCCGGUCGACUCCGCCCCAGCCUCAGAGGGUGGAGUGAGGGCGGACCGGCCCUGGUGGGGGCCGCAGUCGAGGUCCGCAGUCUCCUCGGGGUCGAAAUCGGGCAUCAGCGCCGUUUAGAGAACACCGUCCUGCUGGGCAUGGCCGGGAUGCGAAGAUGGCCCUGCAACGCACCUCCUAGAAUUUGGUUACCUAGAAAACCAUGUGGAAUAAAACGACGAGGCUUAUGAUAUUUAAAAGACUUCUGCAUCGAAUUGGUGUUAUCAUAAGGGUUAUUUUAAUAACUGGCAUUCUCUAAGUUUCUACACGUGUUGGGGGAUGCAGUGCCGUGCCACAUUUCCCGUCUCCAGCAAGCGCAGUCAGAUUGGCGACAUCGCAGGCAAGAGGCAGGGCUGGGGCUCCCACCCGAGAAGUAAUUGUCUCCAAAGUUGGACUUUUGCCACUGGUUCUGCGACUUCAUGCAAUGCCAGGGAGAGCCCCUUGAUUUCCCCCAAAUCCUCAUCAGCCUCUUUCCACCCAAGCCCAGAUGAACAGUGUGAGUAAAAAAGAGUGUGGUUGCUGCGUGAACCCAGAUCUCAGACUAGUCAUCCAGCCCCAUUAUGUAGGACUCAGACACCCCUGUCCACAUCUAACCUCCAGCCCUAACGCCACAUUAGAAAUGGGGGUCUUACUGCUGCUGUCACUCCUAGUCACCCUGUUAAAUUCUAUACCGGUUUACCCAAGUCGCCCAGAGACUGGGCCCCACUUACAUAAGCUGAAGAGACCAGCUGCUUUAAUAGCCUCAUUACCUAGGAUAUAGGAUCACUGUCCAACCUCACUCCACAGUGGGCAAGUUUUUACUUCAGAAUAACUUUUGAAAUAAAUUUCCCCGGAACAGCUCGCCCCUCUCAACAGGACUCUGAGGCUCCACUACGUUGCUGUUAUUCCUGACAGAGUGAUGAAAGGAAAUUUAAACAAGUGGCAUUUUGUAAAACCACCCCAGCCUGUGUGACUUUCAAUGCCUGUCCGAUUUGGCUGGGAAAAUAUUUUAGAUCCCCAGGGCUACAUACUGUUUUUUAUACCCUCCUCUUUGUGUCAGUGAUGGAAAAGGUGUCAAUCUGCUCUGAAUCUCUCUGAACACCUCAGGAAAUAGGCUUUUGGCUCGCAGAGAGGGGAUGAGAAAUAGUUUUGAACCACCAAGUCUCUUGGAGGGUGUCAGCAGCCCCUUGAAGUAAAAGUGUGGCUGCAAACCCAGCUCUCUGCAUUAGCCAGGUGAACCUGAGCAUGCUGCAUACACCCUCAGUCUUGGUUUCUUAAUAUGUAAAAUGGGAAUGAAUAUGCGCACCUCGUGGGGUGGUUGUGAUUAAAGGCAUUCAUUAUAAAGAGCUUAGUUUCAUACAAAGUGAUCAGAAGUGUUGGUUUCCCUCCUUAAGUUUUCUUCUCAUUCCUUUUUCCCCUGCGCUUACAGCCAUGCAGUGUACAUUCAAGAAAUUUCCAUGAGGGCAUGAGGUGUCCAGUGUUAGCCUCAAAUCAAGCAUCCACGAGGUAGUUAGUGUAUACAUUAUAUACAUUUAAAGAGGAGGUCUUAGGAAAAGCCAAACCCUGUCUCAAAAUGAGCUUCCACUCUCACCUGGAUGCCAAGUAACACACACACACAAACAAAGGGCAGUAUGGAGUUCACAAGGGAAUGUUCCCGUUUAACUGGAGUCAGCUGAGCUGGAUUCUAGUCCAAUUUCUGCCAGUUAUUCCCUGUGUGACCCAUGUGAUAAAAUGUAUAGAAGGCUUAAAGUGUGCCAAGCAUUGUGGAUUAUAGCACUUAAUUCUCACACUGAUCCAUAUGGUUACUCCUGCUAUUAUCCCCAUUUUACAGAUGAGCAAACUGAGAGAGGUUACAUAACUUGACUCAGGUCACAGUAAAUACAUGGUGGAGCCAGGCUUUGAGACCAGGUAGUAUGAUUCCAGAGCCCACACCUUCCCUGCUGCAUCAUACUAAAUGGGGGCAAGUCACUUAGCCUCUGGGCCUCAGUUUUUCUCAUCUGAACAGAAAGGGGGCCAGACUAGGCGCCACCCAGGGCUCCUUUCAGCUCCAACUUUCUAUACAUCUACUAAGAAAAUUACAUAUGGAUGCUAAAUAAGUUAGGCCCAGGGUGCUUUUAAGAGAAACGUCAAAGUGGAUAGGGUUGCUUCAUUUCCCAGGGGUGGAAAGCCACUAAAAUAUUUCUUCUGUGUUCCUGGUUCCAAUUUGCCACUCAAAAAGCCAAACAAAGAAAUCAUCCCCCAGAGUUCCAUUCCAAUUGAUUUAGAUCCCUGAGGCUAAUUUUGACCAAAAUGGAAGGAGAAGCAGAAGGUGUGGAAACCCAUGGCUUUCUGCACAACAGAUACACAUGAUGAGAAGUCUGUAUUCUCUUACACACAUAUACACACACACACACACACACAACCAGUGUUCAUAUCGCCUUCCACUGAAGCUCAUACCAGUUCCUCUAGCCAAGUUGUCAUGGCAACACCAGCUGCCAAUGAGAUCAUGGAAGACAAGGUCAUAAUGGCAAUGGUGCCUUAAUAUUUUACCUGGCAAAGCCACUUAGUUAUUAAGAUGAAUAACCAUAAGUCAUAAACUCAUAGGAAGCUAGGCACCAUUCAUGUACAUGUUUAGUGUACAAUUGGGGGUGGGGAAUGGAAAUGACAGCGAAGGGAAAGGAACAAAAAGGAAGAGAGGAUGAGGCAGAGAGCGGAGAAGAAGGUCUCUGAUGCUGAUCCUUAUUUUUCAGUGUGGACCAUGCACAGGUGCUGACCCUACCUGUACAUGGAUUAAGGAACUGGGCUCUUCCUAAUGACAAGAAGUGGGGGGCGGGUCAUGGGAUCCCAGCCUCAAUCACAAAAGCCUUAUCAGAAACCCAAGGCGACUGCUUUCUGGCAUUCACUCCUAGCAGAAGAGAGCAGCAGCACAGGGAAGAGGUAUGUGGUAGAUACCAGCCCACCCUCCUCCCCACUCCGCAGCUGACACAGUCACCGUGUAGAAAGGCCCUUCCAGCUGCCUCCCCAUGUCCCUCGGUGCCCAUCAUCCUUUACAGACUGGCUUGACCCAGGGCUGUCUGUUGCCCAUCUGAACCAACUUCCUACCUAACAAAUCAAUUGGAUUUAGGGGUUUCCUUCCUUUCACAAGAAGCUAAUCACAAUGUGGGCCUCUGGCCAGAACUUUGGCAGUGGGGAGCCGAGGCGGGAGACAGACUCAGUUUACAUUGAAUGCCUUCUGUGCCAUUGAAUUUUGUACCAUGUGCAUGAAUCACUUACUUAGAUUUAAAACAUGCAGAGAUCUACUUUCCCCAGCCCUGUGCACCCUCCAAGGACUGCAGACAUUGGCAGUGAGAUGGGCCCAAAGUGGGGCAGUAGUGAAGCCAGGGUGGUCAGUCUCCAUGUAGCCAAGUUGAUGGAGAAAGUGAUUUUCCACAAACGGGACUCGUGUUCGUCUUAAACUCUCAUGCAGCCUGCUUCUAGGGCUUCGGUUUUACGGCAAGCAAGUUCUGUUCUGAGUGCAAAAGCCGUGGGCUUUCUCUAGUGGUGCCUGGGGCAGGAGUAGCGCGAGGGCAUGCAGGCUGCUUGGUGAGGUGGUUGUAGCUUGCCCUACCCACACUCUGUACCACCUUGUACCCACCUCUGGCCUCAGGAGAAGGGCCACCUACACAGGCGGGAGAGGGAUGCAGACGCAAGGUGAGAACUGGGAUAGAGAGUCAGAAGGCCCACAUUCAGCUCUGAGGCAUCUUCAGAAAAGACACUUUACCUCCGUGAGCCUCAGUUUCCCCUCUACAGAGGAGCAUAACUGUACAGUCCUCACAGCAUUGUAAUGAGAGUGAAAUAAAGAAAAUUUUCUCUUAUUUAACAAAUGCUCUACCUACUAUGUGCCAAGCACUGUUUUAAUCUCCUUACCAAUGAAAACGAGGCACAGAGAGUUUCAGUGGCACAUCCAAGAUCACACGCAUCUGGAAAGGGGCAGAGCCAGGAUCCCAGCCUGACGGUCUGGGUCCAGAUGCCACAUGCUUAACCCCUUCUCUGUAAGGACGAGGGACAUGUCCCAUGGUGGUGUCUCCUCAUUUCUUCUUUUAGUAACUUCUGUGGGACUGGAAAUUUCCACUACUGUCCCCUCCCCUUUUUCGGUUGGUUGAUUUGUUCUUGGGUGUGACAGGGUAGCUUAUAAUUCCCACAGUUUUUUCUACCAGGAUUCCUCCCACUCCCAAACCCCUAAGCCAGUGGCACUCAGAGCUGGAUGCUGAGCACUGCAGUCACUAAGAGUGAGACUGGGUUUGCAGCCUGGCCCUGCAUAUGCAGACAAUGACCAAAUGACCCCGCACUGGCCAGCUAUUUAAUAUUGAGCGACUGUGGAGGCUUGGGAGGACUGAGGAAUACAUUACUUAUUUUUAUUUUUGACUAUGGUAAAAUACACACAACAUAAAAUUUACCAUUUUAACCAUUUUUAAGUGUACAGUUCAAUAUUAAGUACAUUUACAUUGCCGCGCAACGAUCCAUCUUCAGAACUUUUUCAUCUUAUUAAACUGAAACUCUGUAUCCAUUAAACAAGAACUCCUCAUUGCCCCCUUCCCCAGCCCCUGGUAACCACCAUUCUACUUUCUAUCCCUAUGAAUUUGACUACUCUAGGGACCUCAUCUAAGUAGAAUCACACUUUGCCUUUUUGUGGAUGGCUCAUUUCAGUUAGCAACAUGUCCUCCAGGUUCAUCCAUGUUGUAGCAAGUUUCAGAAUUUCCUUCUUUUUUAGGGCUGCAUAGUGUUCCAUUGUGUGUAUAAACCACAUUUUGUUUAUCCAUUCAUCCAUAGAUGGACACUUGGAUUGCUUCAAUUUCUUGGCUAUUGUGAAUAAUAUUAAUAUGAACAUUGGUGUGCAAAUACCUCUUUAAGACUCUGAUUUCAGUUCUUUUGUGUGUAUACCCAGAAGUGGAAUUGCUGGGUGAUAUGGCAAUUUUAUUUUUAAUUUUGGGGGGACCUUCCCUACUGUUUUCCAUAGCUGCUGUGCCACGUUAUGUUCCCACCAGUAUUGCACAAGGGCUCCGGCUCACCGCAUUCUUACCAACUUGUUAUCUUCAGAGUUCGUUCCUUUUUUUAUUUAAUGGCAUCCAUCCUGAUGCGUAUGAGAUUGCACCUCAUUGUGGUACAUUAUUAAUUUUUGUUAUGUAACAACAUACAUUUUAUACCUUCUGCAAUAUUCAGGUGUUGCUUCCGUCUUGUAUCUGUUGCCGAAUAUAUCUCAGUUGUAGGUAUUCACACAAUCACACGAUAUUGGAAGGAUAGUUUGGUCCUUAAGUAGGUGGCUUUGAUUUUUUUUUUUUUGAGACGGAGUCUUGCUCUGUCGCCCAGGCUGGAGUGCAGUGGCGUGAUCUCGGUUCACUGCAAGCUACGCCUCCCGGGUUCACGCCAUUCUCCUGCCUCAGCCUCCCGAGUAGCUGGGACUACCGGUGCCCACCACCACGCCUGACCAAUUUUUUAUACUUUUAAGUUAGCCAGGAUCGUCUCCAUCUCCUGACCUCGUAAUCCGCCUGCCUCGGCCUCCCAAAGUGCUGGGAUUUUUUAAUGGUUUCCUUGGUGAUGGUGGGAUUUUGUUGACUCUCACACUCCUGGGGAACAUAGAGAAUAGCAUCCACCCUAAUCAACCUCUCUCCUCUCAGGAGCUCGAUGAGUCGUCGCGUCCAGGUGAGUCUCCCUCAGGUGCAUCAUGUGCCUAAUCCAAAGGCCCUGCAACGAACUUCCCUAGGAGCCCAGUUCAGCCAGGGGCCUACUUAGGUACACGACAGGAGGAAUGGCAAACAGUUUCUCAAACUGACCUCUCAGCUGUUCAUUUGUCAAAAUACAGUUUCACAUUACUGCUUUUCCCAUUUUGAUUCACAGAAAUGAGAGACCAGGCAAGUUACAGAGGAUGAGCCUCUUAAAAUAAGUCCUAUGAAUACAUAUUAGUCGUGUUUGAGGCAGAGCUCUGCGCUGGUAAUGGAAAGAAAUCCAUGAUCCAGGAAAUAGAAAAAUGCAGCUUGUCAAAUAAUAUGAAUAGUCUGACAUAAUUUUUUUUUCUUUUCUUUUUUUUUUUGAGACGGAGUCUCGCUCUGUUGCCCAGGCUGGAGUGCAGUGGUGCCAUCUCGGCUCACUGCAACCUCCGCCUCCCGGGUUCAGGCGAUUCUCCUGCCUCAGCCUCCCAAGUAGCUGGGACUACAGGCACACGCCACCACACCCAGCUAAUUUUUGUAUUUUUAGUAGAGACAGGGUUUCACCAUGUUAGCCAGGAUGGUCUCAAUCUCCCGACCUCGUGAUCCGCCCACCUUGGCCUACCUAAAUGCUGGGAUUACAGGCAUGAGCCACCACGCCCAGCCUAGUCCGACAUAAUGUAGGUAAAAAGUACCUAUAUUUAUGCUUAACGAUACAUAGACAUAUUCCAAAAGGAUACUACAGAAUUAACACUGGGUACCUUUUUGGGGACCGGGAGUUGGGGGGGUGCUUCAAAUCUUUUACUUUUUACCUCAUACUCGUUUACACGAUUUGAAUCUCUAGCCAUAGCAUGUAUCACUUUUAUAAUAAAAAUAAAGCUUUAAAAUUGUCAUUUUAGGAAAAUAAAAAGGGUUGUAAAAGGGGAUAUACUAGUAAUUUAUGUCAUGCCUCCAGCUGUGGAGAAAUAACCCUGGCUUAGGCCGGCUUCCCUGGAAGCAGAGUCUGAGAUGAAGCUCUGGGAUAAGGGAUGUGUUGAGGGUGUGGCCUUGGGAGAAACGAACUAGGGUAAGGGAGGAAGCACUGGGGAAAGGGAAGCGCUGGGAAAGGAUGUGGCUUUCCACGAAGCCCUGCUUUCACCUGAUCCCGCGGGCAGCUCUGGUGCAUAAAUGCCUCAAGUUUGACCUGCCCUGAAACAAGGGAGUUGGGCUUUUCCUCCCUCUUCCCCGACUCAGCCCUUAGCUAUGGCUGUCGGUGGGGUGAACUGGGAGCGGGGAGAACUCUCAGGCUCCAGCUGGCUCCAGUCAACCAAGGCGGCCCCCACAAAAGGGUGCAGGUGUGCGCCAUUAGCGCCAGCACCUGCUGCUGGGGGCGGGAGGGGACGCUGGGCUGCCAGAAGGGAUCCCAGGGGAAUCUGGGCUUCAACCCCUUUCCCCAGUGACUUGGGAAUCGAACCCAAACUGGCUUCCUUAUAAACAAAUGUAUAAACUGUAAAUUGAUGUAGGAAAUGUUUUUCUUUUCUGUUUUCUUUUUGAUGGCUAUGGGAAGGUACAGGCUACAGGACAUUGUAUUAAAUAGCAGCUUAAAUACUCAAAAAAAGAUAUAAAGAGUAAAAAACAUCAGUUUGCAAGAGUCCGAUCAGACAGCAAGACUUUUGCAGUGGUGGGAAAAUCACUGGAAGGCUGGAGAAGAGGAUGUGCCAGCCUGCUCUCAGGAAGCAGGCGGCGAGGGUUCUGAUCUGGCUACUGUUAGUGGUCAAGAAGACUUUUUUAUUUUUUUCACUUCCUUGGCAAUGUAUAUCUCACCACUGAUUAUAUCUCCCUUCCGGCAUUGAGAAGUUGAGGAAAUUCAAAGACAGAUUUGAACCCAGGACUAGAUAACCCAGAGAAUAAGGCCAAAGAAAGGCAGGGGUGGCUCUAGGAGGCUGUAUUCUAAGGCCUACAAUUCUCUGGGCUGCCUUGACAUCUCUGAGCCUCACAGAGGCCCAAGGGCUUAACUGUGAGUUCCUCUGUGAGUUCCCCUGCCCUCACCAGGCAUGCCCCUGACCCAGCAGGCAAGGUCUCCCACCUGACCAGUACCCUGUCAGUCACCACCACUCACCCAGCCACCAACCUAAUGGGUUUCCCCUCACUGCCCGUCUGUGAAAUUACUCAAGCAAGACAGGAAACUCCUCCCAUGGGAACACAGGGUUACCUGGUCCUCUUGCUACUACAAGGCAUGACCCCCACGGCCCCUGCCGGUCCACUCUGUUCCCAAGUGCAAGCCCCAUGUGGCCCUGCAUAACAUGCUGUGUCCUCCUCCCCCAGGCAGUGAGUCUAGUGACUAAUAAGCUGCUGUCCAUCACAUCUGUCCAGUGGGGGAAGGGUUGCAUUUGGGCUUCUCCCACUAUUUAGGACAGGGACCCCUCCCUCACCAAUAGGGUAAGUAGGAAGUAAUCAGAACAGAGGGACGUUUUGAGUCACAAGCCUUUUUGGGAACAUGCUGUAUGUGCAAACUCUUAAUACCAGCAGCAAGUCCCAGUUGCUUUUCCUUUGCCUAUGAAGCAGAGCUUACUUCUCUGAACAAUGCAGUAAGUUUUAAAAGCUGACCAGUAUAACAAAGGAAGUGUCUUAGAGAAAACAACAGGGCUGGGUGAGGUGGCUAAUGCCUGUAAUCUGCGCACUUUGGGAGGCUGAGGCAAGAGGACUGCUUGAGGCUAGGAGUUUGAGACCAGCCUGGGCAACAUAGUGAGACCCCCAUCUCUUAAAAAAAAAACCCCACAAAAAACAAAAAACCAACCAACCAAAAAAACCUGACUGGGCACGGUGGCAUGCCUAUAGUCCCAGCUACUCAAGAAGCUGAGGUAAGAAAAUUACCCCAGUCCAGGAGUUCAAGGCUGCAGUGGGCUUUGAUUGUACCACUGGACUCCAGCCUGAGUGACAGAGCAAGACCCCAUCUCUUAAAAAAGAGAGAGAGAAAACAACAGAUGUAUUUGGAAACACUCUUCUCUUAUUUCUCUUCUGCUUGCAAUGGCAAAAUGCUGUCUCCUGGGAUAUCCAAGAUAACGUAGCUGCUGUGAUGCUAGGCUAACCUGAAAAGUGAACUACUGAAAUUCUAGCUCUAGAAAAGACAGACUAGUUGUCUUAUUAGUUCUAUACUUAUAAAAGAUAAAUUAUCACUAGGAUUACUAAGAAGAAUUUUCUGUUAGAUCAUUUUUCUCAAUUCUCCACUACAGACUCAUCUACUCACCUGAGGAUUAUGAGGAUUAUGAGUUUUAUGGAGCAAAAUUUGCCUAGAACAGGUUGUCAGCUUCUGUGGACACAGUCUUCUACCCUCAGAAAUCCCAUUGGAAGAAAGAACAAAUGAAGCAUCCCAAGGACUGGAGGAUUCUCUUCCCCCAGGGUAUUCAAGGAAGACACUGGGGA